rnacentral:rRNA from 1 species
CAGGAAUAACGCUGGCGGCGUGCCUAAUACCACCCAAGUCGAAACGGGGCUUUGUAUUCGUACAUAGCCUAGUGGCGAACGGGUGAGUAACGCGUUGGUGACCUGCCCUGAAGAGAGGGACAACAGCUCGAAAGGGCUGCUAAUACCUCAUGUGGUCGUAAGGAUUAGAGGCCUUACGUCUAAACGGAGUAAUUCGCUUCGGGAGGGGCCUGCGUCCCAUCAGCUUGUUGGUAAGGUAACGGCCUACCAAGGCUUCGACGGGUAGGGGACCUGAGAGGGUGACCCCCCACACUGGCACUGAAACACGGGCCAGACACCUACGGGUGGCAGCAGUAGGGAAUAUUGCACAAUGGGCGAAAGCCUGAUGCAGCAACGCCGCGUGCACGAUGAAGGCCUUCGGGUCGUAAAGUGCUUUUCGGGGAGAUGAGAAAGGACAGUAUCUCCGGAAUAAGGAUCGGCUAACUACGUGCCAGCAGCCGCGGUAAAACGUAGGAUCCGAGCGUUAUCCGAAUUUACUGGGCGUAAAGCGCGUGCAGGCGGUUCGGUAAGUUGGAUGUGAAAUCUCCUGGCUCAACUGGGAGAGGUCGUUCAAUACUGUCGGACUAGAGGGCGGUAGAGGGAGGUGGAAUUCCCGGUGUAGUGGUGAAAUGCGUAGAUAUCGGGAGGAACACCAGUGGCGAAAGCGGCCUCCUAGGCCGCUCCUGACGCUCAGACGCGAAAGCUAGGGGAGCGAACGGGAUUAGAAACCCCGGUAGUCCUAGCCGUAAACGAUGUGAACUUGGCGUUGGUGGGGUAAAAGCCAUCAGUGCCGAAGCUAACGCGAUAAGUUCACCGCCUGGGGACUACGGCCGCAAGGUUAAAACUCAAAGGAAUUGACGG